GACGAAGAACGACAAGAGGAUAUGUCUGCGAGGUUUUUUGUUAAAAAAAAAAUUGUAUGCUGACACAAAAAGAUGACCCAUGAAUUUUUAGAUGUAAGUCAUCCUGUUUUAACAUUUUGGAAUUUAUUGACAUGGGCGAAUGACAUUUGCACCGAUUUAAAAAAAAUGUUCGAUCUUUCAUUUGCGCCAAUUAAAUUCUUCAUUAGCGCAUAUCUAAUUUUUUUUUACACAAGCGAUAUUCUAUAUUUGCUGCACUUGUAUUUUAACAGGGGUAAGUAAAUACAUGUACAUGUACUUUACCUAGAAUGUAUAUUGGUAAAAUCUGGAUAUAAGCGGUGUUGACUUAUGUUUAAGUUAAUCUUGGUUCAUAUUGUUAGGAAACUUCGUUGUUACACGAUGGACAUAUUGCACACCGAAACGAGCCGAGAGGUCAUUUCUCUGAUCAUCGAUAGACUAGAUGGAAUACAAUAAGAAGUACAUUGGUAUUUGUAGCAUAUAAAUACUCGGCAAGAACUGAUCUAUAAUUUAUUGUAUUCAGUAUUAUUUUUAUUUUUUUAAAUAUUGUGCUUUUUAAUCUAUGGUUUUAGUGGAUGUGAACAGAAAACUGCUUUUAUCUUUUUUUACUUAUCCUGCCCGAAAUCCUACUUCCACCUCCCCGUGUUGGGCAGGGGAAACCAGUUAUAUGCAUGUUAUAAAUGGCAAUUCACAACAUAUGAACAACUGGCUAACGGAAGAAAUUUAUAAUGAUAAAUAGAAAACCACAUUUACCUGUAGUUUAGCUGAACACAAAAUGCGCAAUUGAAAGAAAACAUCGCCCUAAAUGAAAUGCAGAUCGGCGCAAAUGCAAAGCGCCGAAUAACAUCAACGAUACCACAGUUUCGUUCUUUGACACACUGUUUUGGCUAUUCUGAAGAGUAAUUGUAAAGUAUACCAUCUGUAGAUUGUUAUUCUUGUCACCGUAGAUUCAUAAUAAACAACGGCUCUGAUAUAUCCCUCAUCUUUCCAAAUUUCUAAUUUACCUUUAACUGAAAUCAAGCGCUUAAUUUGUCUAAAAAAAUCUACAGGUGACAAAAGCUGGAUUUUUAUACGAUUAAAAUCAAUGAAAC
rnacentral:lncRNA from 1 species